CGCCGGUCCAUGGGCCGACACCGUCCGGCACACCAAGGGCUACACCUGGUCGGCCCCGUUCCACUUCGUCGACGCCAAGGACUCCCCGCUCGACGGUUCGUGUUCGGUCGAUGAGACCCGCGAUUGCGGCAGCGGGAAGUGCAUUCUCUCGGCCAUUGCCAACUACACGACCCGUGUGGCGGAGACGUCUCUAAGCGCCACUCAGCGGCAGGAAGCACUCAAG
rnacentral:misc_RNA from 1 species